rnacentral:rRNA from 1 species
AACGAACGCUGGCGGCAGGCCUAACACAUGCAAGUCGAACGAGAUCUUCGGAUCUAGUGGCAGACGGGUGAGGAACACGUGGGAACAUCCCUUUCAGUUCGGAAUAACGUUGGGAAACUAACGCUAAUACCGGAUACGUCCUUCGGGAGAAAGAUUUAUCGCUGAAAGAUUGGCCCGCGUCUGAUUAGCUAGUUGGUGAGGUAACGGCUCACCAAGGCUACGAUCAGUAGCUGAUCUGAGAGGAUGAUCAGCCACAUUGGGACUGAGACACGGCCCAAACUCCUACGGGAGGCAGCAGUGGGGAGUAUUGGACAAUGGGCGCAAGCCUGAUCCAGCCAUGCCGCGUGAGUGAUGACGGCCUUCGGGUUGUAAAGCUCUUUUGUCCGGGAAGAUAAUGACUGUACCGGAAGAAUAAGCCCCGGCAAACUUCGUGCCAGCAGCCGCCGUAA